rnacentral:rRNA from 1 species
UACGUAGGGUGCAAGCGUUAAUCGGAAUUACUGGGCGUAAAGCGUGCGCAGGCGGUUAUAUAAGACAGUUGUGAAAUCCCCGGGCUCAACCUGGGAACUGCAUCUGUGACUGUAUAGCUAGAGUACGGUAGAGGGGGAUGGAAUUCCGCGUGUAGCAGUGAAAUGCGUAGAUAUGCGGAGGAACACCGAUGGCGAAGGCAAUCCCCUGGACCUGUACUGACGCUCAUG